UUUCUUUUACACUCGCUGAACUCGAAUUAAAAUUAAAAUUUCGAACGUUUGUGCGUUAUUAAUCUGCCUGAAGUUACUGGCAUUUGUGUGCGUGCGUGUGUGUGUGCGCGUGUACGUGGGUGUUAAGUGAAAAGUAAUAAAAAAGUUAUAUGUAACUGCAUAGGGGGCGCGCAGAGUGGCAGUUGGAGAAAAGAAAGUAAUAAACUAAUUUGUUCCACUUCAGUCAGUUGCCCAACAAUGAUAAGCAGAUUUGAUGCUACAUACAUACUUACAUACUCAGAUAUUUUUCAUUAACUGCCAGAUAUGCAUGCAUUCAAAAAAAUAUUUAUUUUACAAUUUAUAUGCAUUGAAAGUGCACAGAAAUUACCUGAAAGAGAUUCGCUAAAAGAAUUCGGAGAAAGGUUAAUGCAUUUCUUUCAGAAGAAUAUCCACAUAAAUGGCAACAAAGUGGUUUCAAUACAUUAACAGGGGAGCCUCAUGUACAUAUACAUAUAUAUAGAAAUGCAUAAAAAGAUGUCCCAUUAAAAACAAGACUACUCAAAGCAGUUAAUCGCAAUCAAGCGAUUAAAGCUGUUACUUUUGUGUCCUAAUCGCAAUGCAUUGGGGAAGGUUGAGGUUUCCCAGAGUCUGAUCUUCAAAGAUGUGGCUACGAGCAGACGUCAAUCGUGAAGCGAGGUUUCACGCUGGCCUUGGAAUCCGGCAGAUAGAGAAGAAAUAGUCCAAUGAAAUAAGAAACAUAAAUCUCGGCUUAAGACUUUGUAACUUUUUGUAAGUAUCCCAAAUUUAGACGCAUGCACCAGAAACAUUUGGUACCUUAAUCGCGUUAGAUGAGAGCAGUUCCUUGUGACUUGUAGUGGGAAAGAGACUGUGACGCCAAACACUAUAUUUAAUACCGAUGGACAACUGCCUUGCCAUAAUCCGCAUUGACGGAAGAUUUUCCAACCCGCCGGUGACUUAUACAUACAUCUGACGGAAGGUGGCAGCAUGGUACACAGCUGUGCAACCCUAUUUUAGUCAGCUCAGAUUUCUUUUGGUGCCUUAAAUUUUGCAUUUAAAAUAAUUAAAGAAAUCAAUUUCCGUUUAAAGCGAAUAGUGAAUGCUGAAAAUUGCGGUGUUGAGUUUACAGUGUUACAUGGAGGCCAAUGAAUCUGCGUGUUAUUUGCUGUGUGAUUUAAUGUUUAAUUGAAAAUUUAUAAUCAGAGAAGUCGUCUCCGAAAGACGACUGGUGGUAGAAAAAAAUUUUCCAAUAUUUUGGACGUCGCUCGAUCCAGGACUCGAUUCCUGGCCUUCCAAAUAGCAGUACGCAUUGCUCACAACUGGUCUAUUUAUUUAGUCGAGAAAAAUUUAUCACCUCAGUCGUUUCCGUGCUUUUGGACGAUAAUCUAUGACACCAACAGCUACUGGGAGUCAUAGAGAUAGUCGCAAGGCCUAAAACACCUCAUCAUAUAAGGCAUUUGGUGGCAGCGCAGCAACGCAGCGCAGCGAAGUCGACGGCUGAUAAGCGCACAAUCUGAAAAAGGAACUUGAAGUGCUUGGACGCCUGAUUGGCUGGAGCGUUUGCUUAUCUCAUUUAAGAGUGUAUAAAAUAAAAGAAAAUGGAAUUAAACAAAGACCUUGAGGCAUAUUUCAAACUACAAGUCAUAGCAUCAGCAAAGCACCUUUGUCAGCGCGUUCGAAGGCGUGGCGCACGCUUUUCAUGUCAGCUAAGUUAUAUGUUUUUACAUACGUGUAUCUGCAUGCAUAUGUACGAAUGUGUAAAAUGAGGCUAGUUAAAUUAGUAAUAUUCUAAUUAUGGUCUACUGUUAACAUUCUCACACUUAUCAAACGUCAAUGGACUCUUGUGGCAUCCACCGAAGUCAUGGCGAAAAAAAAUCCGCAACUACAAAUUUCGAAUAAAUUAUAAAUGUGCAUAUCGACUACAACGGUAAUUGAUAGUGUGUGUUGCUGCAGCGCUAAGAUGUUCAGUGCGGUUCCUGGCGAUCAGCUAUGGCUGUAUGGCUAAUCAUAAAACUGUCAACAUUGCAACAUUGCAAGCGACUGCAGGGGGCUGAGAGCUAUUAACUCAGCGCGAGUGUCCGUCCGCUUCCGCCAUCCAUACUGCUUGCGGGCAACAAGGAUAUCAGAAUUGCACUAAGUUUGUUAUUGGGUCCGGUUAGUCGGUUAGUUAGUUGCCACGAGUGUGUGUGUUUGUGUGCAUGUAGUCACCUUAGUGGCUUGGUGUAGUAAUAGUUGGCAACAAUUACAUAUUAUUGGCAAUUUUAUGGCAGCAACUUGAACGUGUAAUUUUUUAUAUUAAACUUUGCUGUUGCCGUGUAAUAAAAAUUUAAUAGUGUUGAAAGUGGCAGUGCCGGUACUACUACUGCACUGAAGUGGCAAAGCCUAAUGUAAAAGGAUUGCAGGAAAUUUGGAAGGUAUGUGAGGCAUAGAAAGAUAGAGCUACCUGCCGUACUAUAUAAGAUGCGAUGAGCUUUAUCAAGGAAUAUUCCAAGCUGGAAUAAAAGAUGGACGGUAGACUUAUAGACCACUAUGAAAGCCACUGUAUUGCGAAAAAUUUUCUGAAGAGGACUUGAAUUCUUGGGCUGGGAACUACACUGCAGAUAAGCUUGCGCAGGCCCCACUCCUUACGGUUUAUGUGCAUUGAAAGUCUAAGCAGGCAUGGAUUACUUCAACUCAGAGCGUGCAUGAGACCUACACUCACGUUUCGAAGUCAUCAUUUUUACUGAGAGCGAGGAUUCUGUGUGGUCAUGGCUCCAUUUGUUGACGUAGCAUACUAUAUUUGUCUCUAUGGGAUCGCUUAAGAAACAUAGAGUCUCGAAAAUAAAGUUAUGUCUAAGUUAAGUCCAAGAAAAAAGUCAUCUGCCACACAAUAAAAGAUAGUUAAGACUGUCUCCAGCAACUACUACAUUCAAUUACGACUCACCUAGCAAUACGCAAAGCUCACCUAAAGUCGCUCUUUCACUGACCAUAUUGAAAUCAUUCCACGUUUCCGUGCCAACAGCAAUCAAACUUAGCAUGAUGUACAUUGAAGGACCAAACUUCAAAAACUUGGUCCUUGGGUGCUGCUUGAACUACCUAUCCCCCUUAUAUAUCUCAUGCUUCACUAAAAUCUUUUCAAAGUCCUCUCUUGUAGCUUCGAAUUGCUGGUGUCUUUCUGGUCUCUUAAUUCCAACGGACCCACUACCGCCUACUGUGUCUCUUAUCCAUUGCAAAGCCGCUGUUGCUGGCGUCGAUUCCAAUGAAAUGUUUACAUGUUUAUAUAUGUCUUUGAGUACAUUGUUCGAAGUGCCAUCGUGCCAUCGAUGAGAAGCGUUCAGCACAAAACUUGUCUUAUAAAUUUCACAUGCCAAUCAAUAAAACCAAUUACAAGCAAUUACUUUAAAUGGAUAUGCGAGGCAGAGAGCGAAGCGAGCCACAGAUGACGAUGAUGAUGGACGUACUUUAGUAUGUAUGUAUCUAAGUAAAAAGGAGUAUGAGGGGUUCUUAUCCAUUGGACGGCAUGAUUUUACCAUUUUUUUUUUUUGUUGGACAAAAUAUGUGUGUCUAUGUUGGACGGACCGACGAACGACCGAACGACCGAACGAACGACCGAACGAACGAACGACCGAUUGUCUAGCUGAGAGUGGUGAAGGCGGCGGUUGGGGUCUGCUUGAUUGCUGAGCUGUGCAUGGCCAUCAGCUGGAGUAAUAAAGCCUGAGGUACUUACAAACCGAUGGAAAAUUACUUGAAUACUUAAGAAUGAGCUGUAAUCGUUUAUAUACACACAUACACACAUACAAAUGUACCAAAUUCAACUUCAUUGUAAUUAAAAAUUAAAUGGGAAA